rnacentral:rRNA from 1 species
UUCCUACGGGGGGCAGCAGUGGGGAAUAUUGCACAAUGGGGGAAACCCUGAUGCAGCGACGCCGCGUGAGUGAAGAAGUAUCUCGGUACGUAAAGCUCUAUCAGCAGGAAAGAAAGUGACGGUACCUGACUAAGAAGCCCCGGCUAACUACGUGCCAGCAGCCGCGGUAAUACGUAGGGGGCAAGCGUUAUCCGGAUUUACUGGGUGUAAAGGGAGCGUAGACGGCGCUGCAAGUCCGGAGUGAAAGCCCAUGGCUUAACCAUGGUACUGCUCUGGAAACUGUAGAGCUUGAGUGCGGGAGGGGG